AGGACGAACGCUGGCGGCGUGCUUAACACAUGCAAGUCGAGCGGAAAGGCCCUUCGGGGUACUCGAGCGGCGAACGGGUGAGUAACACGUGAGCAACCUGCCCUUAGCUCCGGGAUAGCUCCGGGAAACCGGAAUUAAUACCGGAUAUGACCUAGGCCGACAUCGGCUGUGGUGGAAAGUUUUUCGGCUGGGGAUGGACUCGCGGCCUAUCAGCUUGUUGGUGGGGUAAUGGCCUACCAAGGCGACGACGGGUAGCCGGCCUGAGAGGGCGACCGGCCACACUGGGACUGAGACACGGCCCAGACUCCUACGGGAGGCAGCAGUGGGGAAUCUUGCGCAAUGGGCGAAAGCCUGACGCAGCGACGCCGCGUGGGGGAUGAAGGCCUUCGGGUUGUAAACCCCUUUCAGCAGGGACGAAGCGAAGUGACGGUACCUGCAGAAGAAGCGCCGGCUAACUACGCGCCAGCAGCCGC
rnacentral:rRNA from 1 species